GACAGCAGCAGCUGGACUUCCUUUCACUGUCUUCCACUCAGCAGGUGGAGCCUCGCCGUUGACACAAGGCUGCUUGCUGUGUCCUCCAAGUAAAACACAAACCCGCACAUUUCACAGAAAGCACCGUCGCUGUGCAAUUCAUCUUGCUCCCCUGAGUCCAGGGGAUUGAACCCAGAGCCUCGUGUGUUUUCAGUACAGAAGACUGAACCCAGGGCAUCAAGCAUUCUAGGCAAAUGUUCUACCACUGACUGCAAACCCCAGCCCAACCU
rnacentral:lncRNA from 1 species